UUCGGUGUGGUGCAACGGCUAGCAUACCUCGCUUUCACUAACUACAGGACAGUAUAUCUAUUUGUAGCGAUCCGAGGAGGUCGGGGUUCGAUUCCCCGCACCGAAG